UACGUAGGGUGCGAGCGUUGUCCGGAAUUAUUGGGCGUAAAGGGCUCGUAGGCGGUUUGUCGCGUCGGGAGUGAAAACCAUGGGCUUAACUCAUGGCUUGCUUCCGAUACGGGCAGACUAGAGGUAUGCAGGGGAGAACGGAAUUCCUGGUGUAGCGGUGAAAUGCGCAGGAUAUCAGGAGGAACACCGGUGGCGAAGGCGGUUCUCUGGGCAUUACCUGACGCUGAGGAGCGAAAGUGUGGGGAGGCGA
rnacentral:rRNA from 1 species